CCUACGGGUGACAGCAGUGAGGAAUAUUGGUCAAUGGACGCAAGUCUGAACCAGCCAUGCCGCGUGCAGGAAGACGGCUCUAUGAGUUGUAAACUGCUUUUGUACGAGGUUAAACGCCGAUACGCGUAUCUUUCUGAAAGUAUCGUACGACUAAGGAUCGGCUAACUCCGUGCCAGCAGCCGCGGUAAUACGGAGGAUUCAAGCGUUCUCCGGAUUUAUUGGGUUUAAAGGGUGCGUAGGCGGUCGGAUAAGUUAGAGGUGAAAUCCCGAGGCUCAACUUCGGAAUUGCCUCUGAUACUGUUCGGCUAGAGAGUAGGUGCGGUAGGCGGAAUGUAUGGUGUAGCGGUGAAAUGAUUAGAGAUCAUACAGAACACCGAUGGCGAAGGCAGCUUACCAAGCUACUUCUGACGUUGAGGCACGAAAGCGUGGGGAGCAAACAGGAUUAGAUACCCGGGUAGUC
rnacentral:rRNA from 1 species